AACAAACGCUGGCGGCGUGCAUAACACAUGCAAGUCUAACGGGAAUGUCGGCUUCGGCUGGCUAGUACCGUGGCGAACGGGUGAGUAACACGUGGGUAAUCUGACCUCGAGUUUGGGAUAACCUUGCGAAAGCGGGGCUAAUACCGAAUAAGACCACGCUCAGUUCGCUGGGUGCGGUAAAAGGUGGCCUCUUCUUGAAACCUAUCACUUAAGGGUGAGCCCGCGGCCUAUUAGGUAGUUGGUGGGGUAAUGGCCUACCAAGGCGACGAUGGGUAGCCGGCCUGAGAGGUUGUACGGCCACACUGGCACUGAGACACGGGCCAGACUCCUACGGGAGGCAGCAGUGGGGAAUUUUGCGCAAUGGGGGAAACCCUGACGCAGCAACGCCGCGUGAGUGAUGAAGGCCUUCGGGUCGUAAAGCUCUUUUAGUGGGGAAGAAUCCCACCCGGGCUAACACCUCGGGUGUCUGACGGUACCCACAGAAAAAGUUCCGGCUAACUACGUGCCAGCCGCCGCCGUAACAC
rnacentral:rRNA from 1 species